rnacentral:rRNA from 1 species
UGGUUAUAGAGCAGGUGUUCACCUCUUACCAUUCCGAACAGAGAAGUUAAGCCCUGCCUCGCCGAUGAUACUGCACUACCAUGUGGGAAAGUAGGUCGCCGCCAAUC